AGCAGCCGCGGUAAUUCCAGCUCCAAUAGCGUAUAUUAAAGUUGUUGCAGUUAAAAAGCUCGUAGUUGAAUUUCGGGAUCAAUACGUCGGUCGUGCUUCGGUACGUACUGGCGUAAUUGAUUUCUCCCUUCUGACGAACCAUGAUGUCAUUAACUUGGUGUCAUGGGAAAUCAGGACUGUUACUUUGAAAAAAUUAGAGUGUUUAAAGCAGGCUCACGCUUGAAUACAUUAGCAUGGAAUAAUGAAAUAGGACGUUCGAUCCUAUUUUGUUGGUUUUUAGGAUCAACGUAAUGAUUAAUAGGGAUAGUUGGGGGCAUUAGUAUUCAAUUGUCAGAGGUGAAAUUCUUGGAUUUAUUGAAGACUAACUACUGCGAAAGCAUUUGCCAAGGAUGUUUUCAUUAAUCAAGAACGAAAGUUAGGGGAUCGAAGACGAUCAGAUACCGUCGUAGUCUUAACCAAUAAACUAUGCCGAC
rnacentral:rRNA from 1 species